rnacentral:lncRNA from 1 species
AUUGCGAAAUAAUAAACAUAUAUUAUUCAUUAUAAUAAAGUUUUACAACAAUAUCCCAAGGUCUUCUUAACCUUAACUUAAACACACAUUUAAUAUUACAAAAGAUUUACAUAAAUAAUUCCAUAAGGUAAUAUAAUAAUUAACAUUCAUAUUAAACUAUUCUUGAACUUUGCCCUUGCCUUUAUUCUUCUUAUUCGAUCCCUCGGGCUUAGCUGAAAUAAAUGUCACGAUAUAGCAAGAGUAAGUAACUAAUUUGCUUAGAAACACUACUAGAAAAACAAGAAUACGUGACAGAAUGUUGUGACAGUUUUUAAAAACAAUCACAAAAGAUAGUAAUUUAUGAUGGACUUUUUAAGCAAUCACAAAAUAAUAGUAUAUAUGAUGGCUCUUAGUGAUGACUAAUUUUGCCAAAUGUAUUAUAAUUGUGAUGACCAUGUCAAUCACACUAAUUUUUUCAUGCAAAAUAAAUUUUCUUUUUGUGACGCACUAAGUCAUCACUUAUAGAUAUACCCUUUUUGUGAUUGCAUUUAAGUUAUCACUAAUAUUUUAAUAUAAGAAAUAAUCAAAAUAAUAUUUUAUGACGGUCGGGUACAAUCAUUAAAAAGAUAGAUUUUUGUGACAACUUUUAUUUGCAAUUACAAAAAGAAGGUAUUUUAUGAUGGAAUUUUCAAGCCGUCACAAAAUAAUAAAAUAUAUGAUGGCUCUUAGUGAUGACUAAUUUUACCAUCAUUAUAGAGUAUUUGUGACUGCUAUUGCAAUCACCAACUCUUAUUUAGAAGUAAUUUUGUUUAGUAAGUCAACUCAUAUAUGUUUCCUUUUAUAAUUUGUUUUAAAAUUAUAAUCAUGAUCUGGACUUUGGUGUAGUGGUAAUACUCGUUAUUUAGUUUGCAAAUGGGAGAGGGUUCAAAUCCUACAAGUAUCGUUUGAUACAAUUAAUAUAGUGAAAUAAAUUAUACGUAAAUAGAGAUUCACGUUCUUACAUUUGAUCCCUAAAGUCUUGUUUUUUUGUGAUGACUUUGACAAUCACAAUAGAUUAUAUGUUAAUGUGAUUAUAUUAAUCAUCACUAAAGCACUAAGCGUUUGCGUGAUUGUCAAAACCAUCACGUAAAACCUUUCAUGAUGGGCGUAUACAAGACUGCCAUUGUGAUGCUUAAAGCCAUCACGUAAACCUUUCGUGAUGAUUUUCCUACUUUUUAUGAUGGAUUUUGGCCAUCACAAAUGACCAUUUUUUUAGUAGUGAAAGUUUAGAUACACAAAGGAAAUAUAUCAUGAUUAGAAAUGAAUUUAGCUUUCAAUGUUCAACAAUAGAAUCGAUUGUGAAAGAACAUGAAUUAAGUUUCAAUAAUUGAAUAUUCUAAUAAUUGAAUAAUAGAUGCUGAGUUGUUUGAAAUAACCAUGAACAUAUACUAAGGUUGUCGGUAUACAAUUAUUAAAUAAAUUAAUUAUCCAUAAUAUUAAUUAGUAAUGAAAUUCAUCCCAAAAUAUUAAAAGUCAUUCAAAAUAACUUCAAAUAUUUUCUAACACGUCAAUAUAAUUUCAAACGAUUUUUAAAAUAUUAAAAUCAUUUUUAAGUAAUUUAUUUAAUAUAAUUAUUAAAUAAAUUAAAUAUCAUUAAUAUUUAAAAAUAUUAAAAUAUUAAUGAAAUAUAUCUCAAAUUAUUAAAAAUUAAUUUUUAUGCUUUAAAAUAAUUUUUACAAAUUAAUUAUGAAUUUUUCAUAAUUAUUAUUCAUUUUAUUCUAAUUAUUUAAUUAAAAUAAUUAAUUUUUAUUAAAAUUGUCACUAAAAGGGACUAUAACGACAAAACUGUCGCUAUAAGUGUUUUUGAACCCUCAAGAACAUUCAUACUUAGUGUGCAGGAUGCCUACUUUGACCACUUGCAAAUCCUUGAUCUUAAUGUUUCUGGGCAUGUAAAGGUGUUAGUGAUGUAGUAUUGAUGUAAUAUUACAAGCACAAACAAGUUCCAGGGCCAAACUACAUCAUAUCAGGAAGAUAUAAGGCAUCAAAAAGCUUGUCAGAGCUGUUCUUCAUUUUCUGGGUUACCCAGAAAAUUAAAACAGUUGCAAGGUAUCACUUUUGGAUCUUCAUAACUUGGAUUCUGGUUUACUCAGUGUGUUAAAGUGCCACAACUAUGUAGUAUGUAUGUCAAGGUACAAAAGUAAUACACUUUUGUAGCUUAACAACAUCACAUAUGAAAGAUCUAGGCCAGUCAAAUGCUUGUCAGAAACUGUUUUUGAAGAUUCCUAAAACACAUAUCUAAACAACAAAUCACACCAUUAACAUAAAUCAUAAGGAUCUACAUAGAUUAGGGUUGAUACCUUUUUAAUGCUAAAUCUUUAUUUCUGCCCUCAUGAUUUUGAUCUUGGAGAGUUAAGGGUUGAUAUUGGCUUAACUCUUGACUUACUUCCUCUCCAAUUUCGAAAAUGAAAGAGAGACAAAAAGGUUGGCUAAGUUAAGAAUUAAUAAAGUAAAGGUUUUCUUACUUUAAUCUUUUAAUUCUUUAAUUCAAUGAACUUGUAUGGCAUAGGUGGCAAGACUUAGAUGAUUUGUGAGAUAAAUAGCACAUGACAAUAUUCAAAGUGGUGACCCACCAAGAUUUGGAGAAAUCUUUUACUUAAACAUUAAGAAAAAGGGCAUUUUAGUCAUUUCACACCUACUAAGGGUAUUUUGAUAAUUUCCCCUACAAUUUGAAAGGUAAUUUGGUCUUUUCACAUAUAUCCCAUAACUUUUAACCCUUAUGUCUUUAUACUUAGCUUUUGAGCUUCCAAUCAGCUACAAAAGACUAGGAGACUAUUUAGGUGGGUCGGUAAACAAUCCUUGACCAAAAAAAUGGAAGCUAGAUUAAAUGAAUCAUGCGCACAAACUCCUCCUUACAUUGCUGACCCUAUCCCUCUUCAUUUUCCCAAUUUGUUUAUUUUAUUUAUUGAUUUAUUUGUUAAUUAACCAUCUAGAAGGUCCAUAUAAAUUGGGCCAUAACUUGGGAUGUGGCGCCCCCAAAAUCAGGACAAUAUUUCUCUACCCGACUUGUGCGUUAAUAUUAUCAUGUUCUAGCUUUAAAAGAUUAUUUAAUGUUAAAAUAGCUAAAAAUGCGGAAUAAAUUUUUUCUUUCCUGUCAUUCAUCGUUCCCUGAAUCGCAACCUUUACGAUUCUUCUUUAUACAAAAAUCAUAUUUAUUAUAUGAUUUGUAUAAUCUGAGUAAACGUAUUAAAAACUUAAGUCUCAAUACUUAAUAUCUUUUCUAUCGAUAAUUCACUUAUUUCAUAAUCAUAUUUAUUCUCAUUUCAGAAUAAACAUUCUUUAUACAUUCAACAUUUCAAACUAUACAUGACUGCCAAUUACAUUUGACAAAACUAUCAGUCAUAGAUUUAUACCAUUUCUAAUUUAAGGGAAUGUAUUCAUUUUGCACGUCGUUCAAUCUUCAUCAUCCGUAUAGCAAGUAAUAUUGCCAAACAUUAUUAACCUACAAAAAGUUUGUGUUUACAAGAUUGAGCUCGACAGCCUAACAAAUUUAACAGUCUAUCAUGUUUCACAUAGCACACAAUUUCAUAUGCACUUCAGUUCCUUUACUAUGCAUAUCCACAUGCAACAUAAUUCUUUACUAUGCCUACAUGCAUCAAUAAUUCCUUACAAAGCAUAUAUUCAUGCAUUAUACAUUUCUAAUAUAUCGAGUUACAUCAUACAACAUGUGCUAUCACAUAUCACAUAUAGAUUGAGUUUCAUAACCCAAUUAACUUAGUCAUAUUUUGACUUUAACAAUUCAUAAAGCAUGGUAUGUAACUCACCACAUAAUCACAUUUAAUCCACAAACAUAAUAGAACUGAAAAACUUGUCUUGAGUGCUGUUUAAUGUUAUAAUUUUAUCCGCUUUGUGAUGAUCAUACAUAAAUUGAGGAUACAUACAUGCACAUAUUAGUUCCACAUACUAAAUUCACAUACUCAAUUUAAACUAAUUUAUUUACAAUAUUAACUAUAAUCUUUUGUUCUCGUCUUAAAACUAUUCCACUUUUCUUUAGAAACUUAUGUCCGCUAUAACCCUUUUAUGUCCAAAAAGGUUCCAUCAAGGCUUUAGUAUAUAAAUACAUUACGUUUCGAGUUAUAAAUCCUUUACAACCCGUUUUACGGAUAUUUCUUACCUUCUAUACAUGUACUUGAAUUUACAUAGUUUAUUGAUAGUUUAUUUUGCAUGUACAUAGAUCAUCUAUUGAACCGAAUAGAUUUAUAGCUCUCAUAGCUUUUAUUUCUUCGCAAUAGUCCAUGUGCUAAACCAUUUUGUAACCACGUAUACGGAUGUCUUAUACUUUUAGUUUACAUAACAUAUCCAUAGCUUACUAUUUACUUCCGCGAGUAAAUAGAACUCGUCUUUUCAUAUGUAUAUUAGUUUUAUAUAUAUGUCCUUUAAUGGAUUCUCGACUCCGUUUGUAUAAUCUUUCCUUUGUAUUUAAAAAAAACACUUUUGUUAUCAAAUUUUCCUUUCAAUAUAGCUGUAAAUUCAUACAUAUGUCAUUACGUAAUUCCGUGUUCAAAAUCUUUGUUUCGAACUCCGAAAACCCUUCGUUUUUACAUUCCUAGGUUCAAUAUAAUUUCAAACGGGCUUGCGCAUUUCAUUAUGCUACAUAUACGUUUUACAUAUCAUUUCCUGAAUUACGCUCACAUAGUUAUGAAAACUUACGUCUACAUUACAUUUUUAUUGCUUUCUUUACAUUUAAAAUGAGUUUUCGCAAUAUAUAAAUAUUAUAUAAUAUCUAUACAUCUCUCUCGGUGUUUUGUUACAUGUUAAACAGCCACAAACCACCCAAAAGCAUUGCGGAAAAAUCGAACGCUGAACAGCCCAUCGCUGUUGCUAUCUGCUGCUGCCACAAGGCAGCAGCCCUCACCUUUGACACCCACUUCGCGACUUAAUAACUUGCAAUCUACUUAUCCAAUCGUAAGGUGUUUUUACUUUGUUUCUCAUGCCAUACAAGACUAUUUUUAAGAAAUACUAACCUCUCAUUUCGGGUUUGUUAAGUAGUCUAAACAGCGUGCCAAAAAUUGACGUCCAUAGCAGUUUUCAAUUUUUUUCCAGCUUUACCCUCUCUCGCUAAAACAGUCAUAACUAAUUCGUUUCGCGAUUCUCGAGCUCACGCGAAGCUUACUUCUGUGGCUACAACUUUUAUUCUUUGACCAUUUUCAAAUUCUAAACACAGUAUUCCAGAAAAUUCGUGUAAGAGACUGCUUCGGAUCUGUUUUCCAAAUUUUUGGCAAAUUCGAUUUGACUACUUUGAAAUGUCAUAACUCCUUGCUCCGAAGUCGGAAUUAGUCCGUUCCGGAGUCUAUGGAAAGCUUAUUCAGUGUACUAUACUUUUCCAAAAGCCCAGAAUUUUCUGAAAAAUCUAGCUAUCCCCAAAUAUUUCUUUUAGGGUCAGCAGUCCACUAACUUUUUGGAUUUUGUUUCUUCAAGCCUCAUAAUGGUUAGCGUAACUUUUGAUAUACAAGUUCAAAUGAAUUGAGACUUGUUCCUACUUUGAGACCUUGUUAUAAGGUACAUUUUUCAUCCAAGUUUGGUCUUUAACAACAUUAUUAAGACACCUAACUAAAAGCUCAAAACUCAGUGUUCUUUUACAUAUAUGCAUAUAUUCCGAACUGAUAGUAGUAACUUUUUUCAUAUGCAUGGCUAUAUUAGAUUUAAUAUCACGCAUAUUCUAAAUUAACAUUACUUGUGGUAUAAAAUAAGUAUCAAAUUACAUGCACUAGUGAUACAUAUACAUGUUAAUUAAUCACAUUAUAUAACUCAGUACAUUAUAUGUCAAAAGUAUCAAAGCUUACCAAAUAAUUAAUUAUGUUAUAUGAACAUAAUUCUUAUGUGGUUACCAAUUAAGUUCAUAACAUAAAGAUUUCCAUUACAUUCCCAGCAUACUAAGAAAUAUCAAUAAGAUAUCUAUCAUAUUGUGGUCAAUAUUGACAUAUAGCCCAUGCUCAAAACAGAUCCAAAAUGCCUAUCAAGUCAAGCCCAUGCUAGCUGCUACAGCUCACUUCUAGCAACCCACUUUACCAAUUUCUAGUUUUCAAACCACAUGCCCAAUUUUUCAAUCAAACUUAAACAUGUUAUAGAAGGUAUGUAAUACUAUUUUUAUUUUAUAUAUAUAUAUAGAGAGAGAGAGAGCAAGGAUCAAGAGCAUAAGUCUUAAAUAACAUAAUUCUUUAAAUAGCAUAAUUCCUUAAAACGACGUCGUUUUGGAGUGGCUUAAAAGAGAGUGAUCCCACUUGUUUUUCUUUUAUUUACAAAAAUGCCACUCGCGGUCACUCCAAAACGACGUCGUUUUAAGGAAUUAUGCUAUGUAAGGAAUUAUGUUAUUUAAAACUUAUGCUCUUGAUCCUUGCUCUAUAUAUAUAUAUAUAUAUAUAACCCAGCAAACUUGGACAUUCUAGACAUGUUUAACAGAUGGCCAAAACUGCUCUGUCGAGACAGUUUUUAAACUAAGCACCAGCAGGCCAUUUACUUAAAAAUAGAUUGCCACUUAAAUUAACUUAUAUAAAUCCUUCAAUUCACUUCAUAUAAGAGGCAUGAUCUUGAUCACUUCGUUACCAUAAUUGCUCUCUUCGAGCUUAACAUUCUCUAAUAGACAAUUAAUCAAACAUUCUAUGCGCGUUAGUUUUAAGGGCAGGAUUCAUAGAUGUUUAAAGGUGGUUAAGCCCAAAUUUCUCCACCCUUAUAACUCCAUAUUCAUCUGUACAAAACUUCCUUAGCAAUACCCAAAAAUUUCAAUUCAAUCAACAUAAACAACUGUAACAAUUUUGAACAUAAACCAUCUAAUUUGCUAUGCAUACAAUAAAGGUUCACGAUUUACCUUUUUGCCUCUUGAAUUUGAUUACAUCUUAGCUUGAAAUCAUCAGCUCUAACACCUGUUUGAUGCUUUCAAUUCUUCCUAGCUCAUUUUAUAAUUUUAUCAUCUUCAUAAAUUCGAUGGUUGCAGCUGUGACCAAGAAAUUUUUGGACAAAGGUUUGGGAGAACAUGGGGUUCGGCAAUAUAAAGAGAGAAUAAGGAGGUGUAGAACGAAUGAAAUAUAUAGGUAUGGAAAAUUGAGAAUGUUUUCUUCUAAUCACCCUCUCUAUAUCAAACAUUAUAAAGCUUAGUAUACUGCUAGUUCUUUAUUAGAUAAACACUUCAUGCUUUUUUUUUGCUUAGUCACACCGACUAUGGUCUAAUAAGCCACCUCCUGCUUUCUCUUUAAUAGCAG